rnacentral:lncRNA from 1 species
CCACAAUGCUUGUCCUUCUUUUCUUUUUCCAAGUGAAUGGAAUUCACUCAAACUUCAUCAGAUCGAACAUACGACUUAAACAGGAUUGAGUUCAUGAUAAAAGGUUUUCUGCUAUUGUGAAGGAGAAAAAGAGCAGGAGACCCAGGAAG